rnacentral:rRNA from 1 species
UGGGGAAUUUUGCACAAUGGGGGAAACCCUGAUGCAGCGACGCCGCGUGAUUUAGAAGGCCUUCGGGUUGUAAAAAUCUUUUCUAUGGGAAGAAAAUGACAGUACCAUAGGAAUAAGGACCGGCUAAUUACGUGCCAGCAGCCGCGGUAAUACGUAAGGUCCGAGCGUUGUCCGGAAUCAUUGGGCGUAAAGGGUACGUAGGCGGGUGAGCAAGUUAGAAGUGAAAUCCUAUAGCUCAACUAUAGUAAGCUUUUAAAACUGCUCAUCUUGAGGUAUGGAAGGGAAAGUGGAAUUCCUAGUGUAGCGGUGAAAUGCGCAGAUAUUAGGAGGAAUACCGGUGGCGAAGGCGACUUUCUGGCCAUAACCUGACGCUGAGGUACGAAAGCGGGGGUAGCAAACAGG